rnacentral:tRNA from 1 species
GGGAGACCUAAUUCAGGUAGGAGACGAAAAAAAAGUAGUCGCUACCAAGAAUCAAUCCCAAAAGGUCGGAGCGAGGCGAAAUUGGCUUUCAAACUAGGUUCUGGGUUCAAACAAGACCUGAAUCAGGAACAAGGGCUAUUAGCUCAGGUGGUUAGAGCGCACCCCUGAUAAGGGUGAGGUCCCUGGUUCGAGUCCAGGAUGGCCCACCUGCACAGGUGGCAAAAACAAGAGAAGCGAGGAAUCAGCACCUUAUCUUACUUAUAUAGUAAGAGAGAAUGCUGGCUCUGAGUAAAGAG